GACGAACGCUGGCGGCGUGCUUAACACAUGCAAGUCGAGCGGUAAGGCCCUUUCGGGAGUACACGAGCGGCGAACGGGUGAGUAACACGUGGGUGACCUGCCCUCAGCUCUGGGAUAAGCCUGGGAAACCGGGUCUAAUACCGGAUAUGACUCCAUGACGCAUGUUGUGGGGUGGAAAGCCUUGUGCGGCUGAGGAUGGGCCCGCGGCCUAUCAGCUUGUUGGUGGGGUGANGGCCUACCAAGGCGACGACGGGUAGCCGGCCUGAGAGGGCGACCGGCCACACUGGGACUGAGACACGGCCCAGACUCCUACGGGAGGCAGCAGUGGGGAAUCUUGCGCAAUGGGCGAAAGCCUGACGCAGCGACGCCGCGUGAGGGAUGACGGCCUGG
rnacentral:rRNA from 1 species